rnacentral:rRNA from 1 species
GUGGGGAAUCUUGCGCAAUGGGCGAAAGCCUGACGCAGCCAUGCCGCGUGAAUGAUGAAGGUCUUAGGAUUGUAAAAUUCUUCACCGGGGACGAUAAUGACGGUACCCGGAGAAGAAGCUCCGGCUAACUUCGUGCCAGCAGCCGCGGUAAUACGAAGGGGGCUAGCGUUGCUCGGAAUUACUGGGCGUAAAGGGCGCGUAGGCGGACAGCUUAGUCAGAGGUGAAAGCCCAGGGCUCAACCUUGGAAUUGCCUUUGAUACUGGCUGUCUUGAGUUUGGGAGAGGUGAGUGGAACUCCGAGUGUAGAGGUGAAAUUCGUAGAUAUUCGGAGGAACACCAGUGGCGAAGGCGGCUCACUGGCUCGAUACUGACGCUGAGGUGCGAAAGCGUGGGGAGCAAACAGGAUUAGAAACCCCUGUAGUCC